rnacentral:rRNA from 1 species
AGUGAACGCUGGCGGUAGGCCUAACACAUGCAAGUCGAACGGCAGCACAGUAAGAGCUUGCUCUUACGGGUGGCGAGUGGCGGACGGGUGAGGAAUACAUCGGAAUCUACUUUUUCGUGGGGGAUAACCUAGGGAAACUUACGCUAAUACCGCAUACGACCUACGGGUGAAAGCAGGGGAUCUUCGGACCUUUCGCGAUUGAAUGAGCCGAUGUCGGAUUAGCUAGUUGGCGGGGUAAAGGCCCACCAAGGCGACGAUCCGUAGCUGGUCUGAGAGGAUGAUCAGCCACACUGGAACUGAGACACGGUCCAGACUCCUACGGGAGGCAGCAGUGGGGAAUAUUGGACAAUGGGCGCAAGCCUGAUCCAGCCAUACCGCGUGGGUGAAGAAGGCCUUCGGGUUGUAAAGCCCUGUUGUUGGGAAAGAAAAACAGCAGGUUAAUCCCCCGCUGUUCUGACGGUACCCAAAGAAUAAGCACCGGCUAACUUCGUG